UACGGGGGGAGCAAGCGUUUGUUCGGAUUUACUGGGCGUAAAGGGCGCGUAGGCGGUCGUGACAAGUCACUUGUGAAAUCUCCGGGCUUAACUCGGAACGGUCAAGUGAUACUGUCGUGCUAGAGUACAGAAGGGGCAACUGGAAUUCUCGGUGUAGCGGUGAAAUGCGUAGAUAUCGAGAGGAACACCUGCGGCGAAGGCGGGUUGCUGGGCUGAUACUGACGCUGAGGCGCGAAGCUAGGGAGCGAACGGG
rnacentral:rRNA from 1 species